rnacentral:rRNA from 1 species
CGUAACACGUGAGCAACCUGCCUAGGUGUGGGGGAUAGCCGGCCCAACGGCCGGGUAAUACCGCAUACGCUCAACACGAGGCAUUUCGAGUUGAGGAAACCUUCGGGGGCACUAUGAGGGGCUCGCGGCCUAUCAGCUAGUUGGUGAGGUAAUGGCUCACCAAGGCUACGACGGGUAGCUGGUCUGAGAGGAUGGCCAGCCACAUUGGGACUGAGAAACGGCCCAG